rnacentral:rRNA from 1 species
AUGUCGGGGUUCUCAGGGGCAUCUUCCGCUCCCGGAUUCCGUCGAGCUAGCGGAAGGAGGGAGGCUGAGUCGAGGUCGUCGGUGCCAUACCGCAAGGGCGCCAUGGCGUACAAGCCACCGAAGCUCUACCACUGCAAUCCGCGAAGGAAGGCGCCGAGGUGGAUAUCGUGGAGCCGGCAGAACCCCGGGAGGAGGUACUACGCCUGCGUCCAUGCACUGGUGAGCUCCAUUUUCCAUCUCCUUCCUUUGUUCUUGCAGUGCUCAGUAAAUCUGAUUCAUUCCUUUGUGUUCAUUUGA